AAAUGGAAUGGAAAAAGACAGUAAUCAUCUGGAGUCAGAGGUUGCAUCUAGAGACGAUCAGCAUUGCACUCAGCAUUCACAGCUUGAGUCUACUUUCCUCAACCAGAUGACAAAAAAUGGAAUGGAAAAGACAGUAAUCGUCUGGAGUCAGAGGUUGCAUCUAGAGACGAUCAGCAUUGCACACAGCAUUCACAGCUUGAGUCUACUUUCCCCAACCAGGUGACAACAAUUGUAAUGCAAGAACAUAGUCAUCAUCUGGAAUCUGAUCUUACUUGUGGAGAUGCUCAGCAGCAGAGGUCUGCAUUCUUAGUUCAGAUCCUGGAGCAGAACCGGACUUACACAGCAAGCUCAGGAGACCUUGGCUGAGCAAGUCAUAGAACCAACCAGUACCACAUCAGUUCCCAAAGGUGUAAAGAUGGUUAAGAGAAAGAAAUGGGAGACCAGUGAAGUGAAAGCAGUUGAAAAACAUCUGAACAGGUUCAUUAAAACUUGCACAGUGCCAAGAAAAAAGAUUGAGUCCUGUAUAAAAGUUGACCCUGCUGCAUUCAAAGACCGACAUUGGUUAACGGUAAAGUUCUUUGUAAAGAACAGAAUCACUGCAUUUUAAAGGAAAAUGUAAACCAGAGCAAAUGUCAUUUGCAGUCUUUGUUUUUUUCUGUUCAUUGAUAAAGUGCUAAAAAAAGUUUUAUUUCAUUUUUCAGUUUAUUUUGUCA